rnacentral:lncRNA from 1 species
CAAAGGUGCACAAGGGGAGAAUCCGCUGAAUAGCUGGAAAAAAAGGUGGGCUGGACGAUGGGGCUGAAUAAUCAGGAGCAAAGGUCUUUGAGAGAGUAAAGCAAGCCCUGCAGUACGGGCAUACCAGAGUUCCAGAAGCAACCAGAAGUUUUGGUGGCUCUGCAUCCGGACAUCUCUCUGCAGGGAACUUUGGGGAUUGCAACAGUCACGAACCUCGUGCCCAAAAAUCUCCAAACGAGAGGCUUCUCCUGCCAGCUCUGCCAGGGCAUCCCAUGUACAGAGAUCCCACAGUGGAGAGCUGCCUUCAGAAAGCUUCACCCCAAGGAUGUGUAACUUGAUGCAGUAUUGACCAGACAUAUUUAGGAGGAGAAAACAGGAUUUGCUUCUUACCUAAAAGAAAAUAUAGCUGCCCAUUCAACAAGAAAUGAAUCCUGAAUCCUGGUCUCUCUGGAAAACCAAACCAACCAAAUCAGCCUCCUGCUUUUCAUUUACAUUCCAUUAAGGCUUGUUAACUUAACCUCAGCUCCCAGAGCUCUGGAGCAUUCUAUAGGUCGGACUGAGUGCUUUGUUAACUACCUUGAUGAACCAAUCAAGGCUUGGCUAAGUCAGAGAAGAAGCAGACAAACCCUGGGAGACAUCUGUACAAGAAAAGGCAUAAUCUGGACGCUGAGCUUUGAAGGCAAGCUAUAUAAUGAGAGCUGACUGUAUCUCAAAAUCCAUGUUAGCUUGAAUGAACUUAUGUAAUAAACAUUUAUCACAGAACAUAUGUCACUGAGCACCUGCCAGACUUCAGGAGUGGAGCCAACACAGCUUGAAUCGUAUAUGUAUUGGGAGAAAAAAAAAAAAGAAGAAAAAAAAAAAGGAACUUGGCGGCAGGAGGCUGGCAGACGCUUUUACUAGAAAAAUCAGAAGUGAUUUUGAGAGGAGCAGAAAUUUCCUGAAACCUCUUUCUCUCUGUAUAGGAAUUUCACACUUGGAAAAAACGAGAGGCAGAUUCGCCUGCAUGAGGUUGGGCGCUCAUCUGCCUACCCAUAACCCACAUUGUGACAAUUCAUGAGUCAACACUUUUUCCUCACGUGAUGGUGGGGAAAAGAUCUGGAAGCACCCUGUGAAGAAGAUCCAAAUCACUCUUCCUCAGGUCCCAUUGGAGAAACUGAAGCACGAAGCACUGAAGAGAUGCUUCUCACAGCACUGGGAGAGUGUCCAGGCUCAAAGCCAGCUGUUCCAGUCCCAGCCUAACAUACCCAACAUUGCCUGUGCCUCUCCCUGGAAGGGGGGAUGAGAUUUAGUAUGGACAGGAGAUCUCUAUAUAUGUGUUUGUGUGUCUUUGUGUACAGUACAGGGGUUUUACUGAGAAAAGGCUACUUAACAAAAUAACAAAGUGGAAAUCAAUUCUGUCUUCAUCUGGGAAAGCAG